rnacentral:sRNA from 1 species
GGGUUACUAUUGCCUUUCUGCGCUUGAUCACCACCCUUGUCAAGGGGCAACUUGGUAGUACCCAGAGCCAAGGACUUGUACCCUGUGUAAUGUUUGUGCUGAAGGAGAUGCUUCCCAGCUACCAUAAGUGGCGCUACAACUCUCAUGGAGUGAGGGAACAGAUUGGUUGCCUGAUCUUGGAGCUGAUUCAUGCAAUACUGAACCUGUGCCACGAGACAGACCUGCACAGCAGUCAUACUCCCAGCCUGCAGUCUCUCUGCAUCUGCAGCCUGGCAUACACAGAAGCAGGACAGACAGUUAUCAAUAUCAUGGGCAUUGGCGUGGACACCAUUGACAUGGUGAUGGCUGCUCAGCCUCGAAGUGAUGGGGCAGAGGGCCAGGGGCAGGGCCAGCUGCUGAUCAAGACAGUGAAACUGGCAUUCUCCGUCACCAACAAUGUUAUUCGGCUGAAACCUCCUUCUAAUGUGGUGUCUCCCCUGGAACAGGCUCUCUCACAACAUGGUGCUCAUGGAAACAACCUCAUUGCUGUUCUAGCCAAAUACAUCUACCACAAACAUGACCCUGCUUUGCCACGUCUUGCCAUUCAGCUGCUGAAACGUCUGGCCACGGUGGCCCCAAUGUCAGUGUAUGCUUGUCUGGGCAAUGAUGCGGCUGCCAUUCGUGAUGCCUUCCUGACCCGAUUGCAGAGCAAAAUUGAGGACAUGCGCAUCAAAGUCAUGAUUCUAGAGUUCCUCACGGUUGCAGUAGAGACCCAGCCAGGCCUCAUCGAACUGUUUCUGAACCUGGAAGUUAAGGAUGGCAGUGAUGGCUCAAAGGAAUUCAGCCUUGGGAUGUGGAGCUGUCUCCAUGCAGUGCUGGAGCUGAUUGAUUCCCAACAGCAAGAUCGAUACUGGUGCCCACCCCUGCUGCAUCGUGCCGCCAUUGCCUUUUUGCAUGCUCUGUGGCAGGAUCGGAGGGACAGUGCCAUGCUGGUCCUCCGAACCAAACCCAAGUUUUGGGAAAAUUUAACCAGUCCACUGUUUGGAACCCUUUCUCCUCCCUCUGAAACAUCAGAGCCCAGCAUCCUGGAAACCUGUGCCCUAAUCAUGAAGAUAAUUUGCUUGGAGAUAUACUAUGUAGUAAAGGGUUCAUUAGACCAGUCAUUAAAGGAUACACUGAAGAAAUUUUCCAUCGAGAAACGCUUUGCCUACUGGUCAGGGUAUGUCAAGUCAUUGGCAGUUCACGUGGCCGAAACAGAAGGCAGCAGCUGCACCUCCUUGUUAGAGUACCAGAUGCUGGUGUCCGCCUGGAGGAUGCUUCUCAUCAUUGCCACCACUCAUGCAGAUAUAAUGCACCUGACUGACUCUGUGGUGCGUCGCCAGCUCUUUCUUGACGUGCUUGAUGGAACCAAAGCGUUACUCCUAGUUCCAGCCUCAGUGAAUUGCCUUCGCCUCGGCUCCAUGAAGUGCACUCUGCUGCUUAUCCUCCUCCGGCAGUGGAAGAGAGAGUUAGGUUCUGUGGAUGAAAUCCUUGGACCCUUGACGGAGAUCCUGGAGGGAGUGCUGCAGGCCGACCAGCAACUCAUGGAGAAGACCAAGGCCAAGGUGUUCUCGGCAUUCAUCACAGUGUUGCAAAUGAAGGAGAUGAAAGUAAGUGACAUCCCCCAGUACUCCCAGCUGGUGCUGAAUGUCUGUGAGACCCUCCAAGAGGAAGUGAUUGCACUCUUCGACCAGACCCGCCACAGUCUGGCAUUAGGCAGUGCCACAGAGGACAAGGACAGCAUGGAGACUGACGACUGUUCUCGGUCCCGGCACAGGGACCAGCGUGAUGGGGUGUGUGUCCUGGGCCUGCACCUGGCCAAGGAGCUGUGUGAGGUAGACGAGGAUGGUGACUCCUGGCUGCAGGUAACCCGCAGGCUUCCCAUCCUACCCACCCUCCUCACCACUCUAGAGGUGAGCCUUCGCAUGAAGCAGAACCUACAUUUCACUGAGGCCACAUUGCAUCUGCUCCUCACCCUGGCUCGCACUCAGCAGGGAGCCACAGCAGUGGCUGGAGCUGGCAUUACCCAGAGCAUUUGUUUGCCCCUUCUGAGUGUGUACCAGCUUAGCACCAACGGCACAGCACAGACACCUAGUGCCUCUCGGAAGUCCCUGGAUGCCCCCUCUUGGCCAGGAGUCUACCGCCUGUCCAUGUCCCUGAUGGAGCAGCUGCUCAAAACUCUGCGCUACAACUUCCUGACUGAGGCCCUGGACUUCGUGGGUGUCCACCAGGAGCGGACCUUACAGUGCCUCAACGCAGUGAGGACAGUGCAGAGUCUGGCCUGCCUGGAGGAGGCGGACCACACCGUGGGUUUUAUUCUGCAGCUCUCUAACUUCAUGAAGGAGUGGCACUUCCACCUGCCUCAGCUCAUGCGUGAUAUCCAGGUGGGGGCCCAAGAUGGUGUCUUGGAGUCUGGGGUAAUGCUUGGAGACAGGGAGGCUGUGAGGUCUCACUGGGGCACCCCUAGUGAAUUGCAGGAUGUUCCUGAACGGGGGCUUUUUCCUUGGGGAGCACAGGGUUUGCUGUCAUGUGCUUACUCUGGCUACAUGUUUCCUUCCAUAGUCAAGGGCAGCCAUGUAGGUUAAGAAUUUGGACUUUUAUCAGUUAGCUCUUGGUUCAGAUCCCUUAAGAAUACACCUGGGGCCAGGCAUGGUGGCUCACGCCUGUAAUCCUAGCACUUUGGGAGGCAGUCAGGAGUUUGAGAUCAGCCUGGCCAACAUGGUGAAACCCUGUCUCUACUAAAAAUACAAAAAUUAGCUGGGCGUGGUGGCACGUGACUGUAAUCCCAGCUACUCGGGAGGCUGAGUUGGGAGAAUCGCUUGAACCUGGGAGGCGGAGGUUGCAGUGAGCCAGGAUCGAACCAUUACACUCCAGCCUGGGUGACAGAGCGAGACUCCGUCCCAAAAAAAGAGAAAAAAAAAAAA